rnacentral:rRNA from 1 species
UCAAGCGAACAAGGGCGCAGGGCGAAUGCCUUGGCACUGGGAGCCGAUGAAAGACGUGAUAAGCUGCGAUAAGCUUCGGGGAGCUGCAAAUAAGCAUUGAUCCGGAGAUUUCUGAAUGAGGAAACUCACCUGGGUUCAUACUCAGGUACGUUAUACUGAACUUCAAAAUAGGUAUAUCGAGGGAACCGCCUGAACUGAAACAUCUAAGUAGGGCGAGGAAGAGACAUCAAACGAGAUUCCGUAAGUAGUGGCGAGCGAACGCGGAAGAGGGCAAACCGAGAGUAGAAAUACUUUCGGGGUACGGACUGCUUUUAGGACUUAAUCUGUUAACCGAACGGCAUGGGAAGGCCGGUCAGAGAGUGUGAGAACCACGUAGGUGAAAACGGAGAGAGCUGCGCAGGAUCCAGAGUACGGCCAGACACGUGAAACCUGGUCGGAAUACGGGGGGACCACCCUCCAACCCUAAAUACUACCCAGUGACCGAUAGCGUAUAGUACUGUGAAGGAAAGGUGAAAAGCACCCCGGGAGGGGAGUGAAAAAGAACCUGAAACCCUGUGCCUACAAGCACCUAGAGCGCGUCAAAGCGUGAUAGGGUACUUUUUGUAGAACGGUCCGGCGAGCGAUUGUAUGCAGCAAGGUUAAGGACUUAAGGUCUGGAGCCGAAGCGAAAGCGAGUUUGAAAAGGGCGUUAAGUUGCAUAUAAUGGGCCCGAAACCGGGUGACCUACCCAUGGUCAGGUUGAAGUGGAAGUAAAAUUCCAUGGAGGACCGAACCGACCUCCGUUGAAAAGGCGGCGGAUGAACUGUGGGUAGCGGAGAAAUUCCAAUCGAACCCGGAGAUAGCUGGUUCUCCCCGAAAUAGUUUUAGGACUAGCCUCAAGUUAGAUACCUGGAGGUAAAGCACUGAAUAGCCUAGCGGCCGAGAGGUUAGCGAAGCUUAUCAAACUCAGAAUGCCAGAGUAUUGAUGCUUGGGAGUCAGACAGUGUCAGAUAAAUGUCAUUGUCAAAAGGGAAACAGCCCAGAUCUACAGCUAAGGUCCCAAAGUCAGGUUAAGUGGAAAACGAUGUGAAGAUACGUAGACAACCAGGAUGUUGGCUCAGAAGCAGCCACUCAUUCAAAGAGUGCGUAAUAGCUCACUGGUCGAGCGUCUUUGCGCGGAGAAUUUAACGGGGCUAAACCUGACACCGAAGCUUAGGCAGCAUGUUUACAUGCUGGGUAGGGGAGCGUUGUAUACGCGGUGAAACAGUAGCGCAAGCGGCUGUGGAGUGUAUAGAAGUGAGAAUGCCGGAAUGAGUAGCGCGAAUGCAGUGAGAAUCUGCAUGGCCGAAAGCCUCAGGUUUCUGGAGGAAGGUUCGUCCGCUCCAGGUCAGUCGGGAGCUAAGGUGAGGCCUAACGGCGUAGCCGAUGCACAGACGGUAGAGAUUCCGUCACCACCAAAAGAGUUAAACACAGGGACACAUAUGAAGUCUCGGAGCCGGGUGUUGGUUCCGGUAGCGAUCGAGGGAAGUUAGUACCGAAGUCCGGGAUGGAAGAUGGCGAGAAAAGCUGUGUGUAUUUCUGCGGUGCCCGUACCGCAAACCGACACAGGUAGGUAGGAAGAAGAUUCUAAGGCCAACGGGAGAAGGGUUGUUAAGGAACUCGGCAAAUUGACCCCGUAACUUCGGGAGAAGGGGUGCUGCAGCAAUGCAGCCGCAGAGAAUCGGCCCAAGCAACUGUUUACCAAAAACACAGGUUUGUGCUAAAUCGAAAGAUGACGUAUACGAGCUGACGCCUGCCCGGUGCUGGAAGGUUAAGAGGAGAUGUGCAAGCAUUGAAUCGAAGCCCCAGUGAACGGCGGCCGUAACUAUAACGGUCCUAAGGUAGCGAAAUUCCUUGUCAGGUAAG